ensembl:lncRNA
UUUAAAUCUUUCCAUCAAUUGUAUUAACCAUUCACACCAUUCUCUCACUCAUACAAGCAGCAAGCAGAUCUUCAUUGCAUAUGCUUAUGUUCUUAGCCAGGUUUUUAAUCAAUAUCUGUUCAUUAAGCUUCAGGAGCUUGUCUUUAUAAGGUUAAUGCAUUUUCUGUUUGUGUGUGUAUGGGUAUAUGUUAUUUUGCAUCUAUGACUUCACAGUCUCCCAGACUUCUUCCCAACUCUCCAGUUAAGCAGUCAGUUUUCUUUUUCCCCGAGUUACUAACCCACAUUUUGAUUUCCCACCUUAAAUUACCGCCCUCCGGGUCUUCAGCCAGGAGCUGGGGCUUGCUUUUCAGGUUCCUGGACACAUCAUGCUGUGAACAAUUCAACCAGAAACUUGCCUUAACAUAUCCAUUCAUGUUAACCUGUAAUUUCUUCAGACUCCUGCAUCUGGAGAAUUGGCCUGGGUCUGCUUUACCCUGAAAAUAACAAACUAAGACAUUUUCAUUAUUAUCACCAGUGGUUAAAUAACCCAUUUCUCUAUCUCUGAUCAGAAACACCAAUUAUGCCAUGCAUGUAAGCGUGUUCUUCCCUGCAUUUUAUGUUAAUUGGGUGUAAACUGCUUCUUCAUUAAAUUAAUUCAUUGAGUUCUUCGUUGCCUUGUGAUGUAUUCAUGUUAAUGUACACUACGUGUAAGCUGUUUCUUCAUUGCAUCCUAUAUAUUCAUAUUUAAUUUAUGCAUUUCACCACUGAGCUUUAGAUUCAAACUAUCUCACUUCUGAUUCAUUUCAAAAAUAAUCUCACAUGUAACAAUUUGUAUGUGUGUUUUCUAUUCAUUAAGGUAAUGACAAUUAUUUUCGUUCAUUAUUCCUACCUUUUCUAAUGUUUACCUCUUUGUUAUGCUGUAGUGGACAUCCCUAAACAAUUCAUGAGUUCAGGUUUCAAUUUUCAAUCCAAUUAUAUCCUAUAUUCUCGCAGUCAAACUCGUCCAGCUUCAUCUCUCACUGGUCCUCUCUGCACAAUGUCCUGUUCGGGCCUCAAAGCUCCAGCAAACACAGUCUCAACUCAGCUGUUGUCUUCUUCUCUGUUUCUUUACAGUCUUUCUUUCAGAUUAAGUCCCAGCAUGGCAAAAUAUCACUCAAUGUCCAGUGCUCUUCCACAAUUCUUUAUCCCACUGUUCAACUGCCCAGCCUGUAUUUUCACAGUACAUGUUACAUUACUCUUACAUGCUGCUGCUGGUCGUCAAUCGUCAUCAGGGUUAAUGGAUCAGUGGCACUGCCGUUUGCCUGCUGUAUUCAAGUUCACGAUGUUCUAUCGAUCUUCAUCAGGCGAUUGACUGUCCUUUGAACUUCUUCUCCGCUUCAGGGACAAAGUGAGAGAUCCAGCCGCCCAAUUUCGAGCCAAAAACUGGCUUAUUCUCCCAAUUCUUUUAAUCUACUUUUCUGCUGCUGAACUCAAGGUUGCAAAGUUGAAAGACGCCCACCUGUAUUGACCAUAUAAUUAGUAUUAUAUUCAUUUUUUCUUAAAGGCUUCAUUGCUCCCAUUUCCUCGUCUGUCUCUCU